GGCAACGAUGCCUAGGGGGUCUGAGAGGACGAUCCCCCACACUGGUACUGAGACACGGACCAGACUCCUACGGGAGGCAGCAGUGAGGAAUAUUGGUCAAUGGGCGCAAGCCUGAACCAGCCAUGCCGCGUGCAGGAUGACGGCUCUAGAAGUUGUAAACUGCUUUUGUAUGGGAGUAAACUGUCCGGUUCUCCGGGCAUUGAAGGUACCAUACGAAUAAGGAUCGGCUAACUCCGUGCCAGCAGCCGCGGUAAUACGGAGGAUCCAAGCGUUAUCCGGAUUUAUUGGGUUUACAGGGUGUGCAGGCGGAGUAAUAAGUCAGUGGUGAAAUCUCGCGGCUCAAACCGUAAAAUUGCCAUUGAUACUGUUAUUCUUGAGUUCAGUUGAGGUGGGCGGAAUGAGUAAUGUAGCGGUGAAAUGCUUAGAUAUUACUCAGAACACCGAUUGCGUAAGGCAGCUCGCUAAACUGUAACUGACGCUGAGGCACGAAAGCGUGGGGAGCGGAACCAGGGAUUAGAUACCCUGGUAGUCCACGCCGUAAACUAUGAAUACUGGAUGUGUGCGAUACACUGUACGCGUCUGAGCGAAAGCAUUAAGUAUUCCACCUGGGGAGUAUGUCCGCAAGGAUGAAACUCAAAGGAAUUGACGGGGGCCCGCACAAGCGGAGGAACAUGUGGUUUAAUUCGAUGAUACGCGAGGAACCUUACCUGGGCUUAAAUGCAGUAUGACCGUUCUCGAAAGAGAUCUUCACUUCGGGGCAAAUUGCAAGGUGCUGCAUGGUUGUCGUCAGCUCGUGCCGUGAGGUGUCGGGUUAAGUCCCAUAACGAGCG
rnacentral:rRNA from 1 species